GAAUUAAAAUAUAGUUUAUUUUAAAAAGAUAUUUUAAUAGUCUUUAUAUAUAAAAUUAUAUAAAUUAUAUUAACAUUAGAAGACGAAUUUAUAAAUUUUAUAAAUAUAAAAAAAGUUAUUAAUAAUAUGCUUGGCGAAGCUUGUGCCAGCCGCCGCGGUUAUACAGGUAAGUUAAUUUUUUUAUUAUUAAAGAAUAAAAAAUGAUUAAAAGGAAAUAAUUUUUGAUUAUAUAGGUGAAAUUAAUAAUUUUAAAAAAAAAUUUUUUUGUUUUUUGGAAAUUUAUAAAUUAAACUAGGAUUAGAUACCCUAUUAUUAUAAGGUAAAUGUUGUUAGUAUAUAUAUGUUAUGAAAUCAAAAGAUUUUGGCGGUGUUUUAAGCUUUUUAGAGGAAUUUGCUCUAUAAUGGAUAAAACCCCUAAAUCUUACUUAAUUUUGUUAAUUCAGUUUGUAUACCACUAUAUUUAAUAAUAUUGAAUAAUUAAUUAUUACAAUUUUUUAAAACAGGAAAAAUAAAUUAAGUCAAGGUGCAACUAAAAAUUAUGAAUGAAGUGAAUUACAUUAAUUUUUAUUAAGAAAUAUGUUGUAAUAUGUAAAAUUAGGAUUUAAUAGUAAAGAAAAAAUAGAAUGUUUUUUUGAAAUAAGCUCUAGAACAUGCACAUAUCGCCCGUCGCUCUCUUAUAAGGGAUAAGUCGUAACAAAGUAAAAAUACUGGAAAGUGUUUUUUAAGAUGA
rnacentral:ncRNA from 1 species